CACACUCACACACAUUCAAACGCACUCACAUUCUCACACACACACUCACAUUCUCACACACACAUUCUCUCAAACGCACUCACACACAUUUUCUCACAUGCACUCACACACUCACAUUCUCCAAUGCACUCACACACAUUCUCUCACAUGCACUCACAGACUCAUACUCACAUUCUCUCUCACACACUGACACACUCACAUUAUCACACUCAUUCACUGACAUUCACUCACACACUCACAUUCUCUCACUUGCACUCACACACUCACAUUCUCUCAAACGCACACACAUUCUCACACGCACUCACACACUCACGUCUCUCACACACUCAUACUCUCAAACGCACUCACAUUCUUGCACUCACACAUUCACUCACACGCACUCACACUCACAUUCUCACACACCUACACAGUCACAUUCUCGCACUCACAUUCUCUCACCCACACAUUCUCUCACACACUCACAUUCACUCAAUACAUUCACUCACAUGCACUCACACACUCACAUUCUCUCACAUGCACUCAGACUCAUUCACUCACAUGCACUCACACACUCACAUUCUCUCAAACGCACACACAUUCACACACACACUCACAUUCUCACACACGCACUCAACACUCACAUUCACUCCCACACACUCACACUCACAUUCUCACACAUGCACUCACACACAUUCUCUCACACACAUGCAUUCACUCACAUGCACUCAUGCUCACAUAUUCUCUCACUCAAAUGCACUCACACUCACACAUUCUCACAUGCAGUCACACACUCACAUUUUCUCACACGCACUCACACUCACACACUCACAUUCUUUCACUUGCACUCACACAUUCUCUCACACACACACUCACAUUCUCUCA
rnacentral:lncRNA from 1 species